ensembl:lncRNA
GGCAUAGCUACACAUGUGUUCUCCCAUACUUAGAAAAAUAUUACUCUACUUUUAAAAUGAAGAAAAGAAUACUCAAAAAAGCUGUUUAGCUUGACCCAAGUCAUAAGAGCCAUGACAUGAAAAGCUGAGAUAUAAAUUCAGGCCUUUUCAGUCCAAGUCUAGGUCCAUUUGCUCCCAUCUCAAUUCUAAAUUUACACUAAUAUAUUAAAGAAUGCUAAGACUUAAAUGUCUUGUAUGAAGUUAGCAGGUGACUUGAAUCCUUUAAGCCAAAGGGCCCUAACCUUUUGUGGAAGAAGCUUCUAUUAAUUUCCUUGAAACCUGGAGGGUUGGUACUCACAGGGAGCUGGUCAGUAGGACAGGUGAGAGGGCAGUGCUGCUCCUGCAUGACACUCCCUCAGAGUGCCAACCAGGAGAGAGAGAACAGCAGUGAAGAAGGUGGUGAUGACCACUAACUUGGGGAGCUACCAUGUACGCUGCAAAGUUCAUUGGUAGCUUCACAUCUCUUAAUUGAGGGGCCUCACUUUUCUGCAAAGAAGUGCAGGCUGUGAGAAUUUCAUGGAGUCCUAGUGGGAAUUUUUUGAGGGGUGCCUUUUCUUGGGGCACCUUAAAUCUCAAUAGGUAGGAAAACUCUAAUUCUUAAUUAGUAAUGCCAACAGGAUUGCAACCUAAAACUUUUGAGUCUAUUCAUCCCAUACAAGUCAUACUUGGAUGAAGUCAUGCUUCAUUCCAUACAAGGCAUAGCUGAGAACACUUAUGUAUUUUUCCCUGAUCCUAUACAGGUCAAUAACCUUCCUUCUUAUUUUCCAACAGACAGUGAUAUUUUAGACUCAUAUGCACAACUCUAAGACCAUAGAGGAAUAUGAUUCAAAUGAUUCUGUCUGGUAGCAUGAGUCAAUCUCAGAAGCCAGCUUACUCUAAGCUCUCUAUGUGCAUCAGCACAGAAGCCCCAGUCCAGGAAGAACCAAUGCCUCCAAGACACAGCAGCACAAAAAGUCAUUAGGGGAGGGGCUGGCCCCGUGGCCGAGUGGUUAAGUUCGCGCUCUCCGCUGCAGGCGGCCCAGUGUUUCGUUGGUUUGAAUCCUGGGUGCGGACAUGGCACUGCUCAUCAAACCACGCUGAGGCAGCGUCCCACAUGCCACAACUAGAAGGAUCCACAACGAAGAAUAUACGACUAUGUCCCGGGGGGCUUUGGGGAGAAAAAGGAAAAAAUAAAACCUUUAAAAAAAAAAAAAAAGUCAUUAGGGGAGUAGGAAGAAAAAAAUACAGACAUGUUUGCCUACUCAAGAAUAUCAGAUUUUUCCUUUCCACCUUGAAUCUUAAAAGGUUUUAUUUUAGGAUCAAGGCAAGGAAAUUUAGACAGUGAACAUAUUUAACAAACAGAAAAUAUAAAUUUAUUCCAAAGGGGUUUAGAUAAAAUCAUCAAUUAUAGUUCAGUAAUCAAAAUGGUAAUGCAACACACUUAGCCUUGCAUUCAAAGCCUUAUCCUGGAGGAUAUAGAUUCCCUGUCCACUCAUCUCCCAAUACUCCUCAGCAUCCCUAUAUGACUCCCAUUCCAGUCAUGGUGGUCUCCAUCCUGUGGCUGAUACCCACCACCACUGCUUGCCAUGCCCACAAAGUCAAACUUCUGUACUAUUGCUCAUGGAAUCUUGCCUAGAGUGCCAUCCUGCUAUGUUUUGUCAAUUUCACAUCUUCUCUCCUUGAAGACCAGCAUCUCCUCUAUGAGGCAUUCAUGUGCCAUCACUGUCUAUAAUCUUCUCCAUGACAUUACUUAUUAAUGGUAGCAUUUGUUUCUAAAUAAUUGCCAGAUUUUGGAGUUGGGCAUCUCAAUCUUCAAGUUCCAGGUAUGCCACUUACUGAUUCUAUCAUCUUAGAUAAGUUCAUUAACUUCUCAGAGCCUUGGUUUUCUCCUCUGCACAAUGAGGGUAAUAAUAUGUAACCCACUGCUCACCCAUGGUUAUUAUCAGGACUAAGUACACUUUAAAAUUUUAUAUAAACUCUGGAGUGCUAUCCAAAUAUCAAAUAUGGAGUGUAAGGAAUCAAGAGAAAGAAGCAGAGCCCUUUCCUCUUGCUCUAGGAGGGAUUCAGAAAGGGGACAGAAAGAGGAGAGUGACUCUCGUUUUGUUAUUCAACUGAUGUGGUCAGCCAGGCAGUGGGCUGCACUCUUUUGUCGGAAUAGCAAAUAGGCUCUAUCACAAGUGCCAAUGCUAACCAAUUAUGAAUGCCUGCCUGAACGCUGUGUUCAGGAGUCUGAGGACCCAUCUGCGUAGAGAGGGCAAUGGCUGCAGUCAAUUAGUAAUGGCUGCAUGGGCACAAGAAGGAGAAAGGGCAGAAUGAAUGCCACAUGUCUGUUCUGCCCCCAGCUUUGGGAUCCCAUCAUGGGAAAGCAAGAAUUUGACUUGCUACCGCUAUUGACCCUGUGAUUUUUUUCCCAGCGUCUCUGUUGCCAUUAGCCUAACUGUCUUAAAUCUGAUUUAAGUUCCAUUUGUUCCUUCAGUGUCUGACUAGAAAAUAUAGACUAUCCCCUACCCUCUUAGGGAACUUAUCUCAAUGGGCACACUUCAGUCACAUAAACAAUUACCUGUUAUUCUUACACUGUGCAGGACACUAUGCUGGGGCCAAAGGAAAACCAGUAGCAUUUAUUGAAUAUCUCCUACAUGCCAGUCACUGUUUCGGGCACUCCAUGAGCUUUUUCAUUUCAUCCUCAAACACUCCACAAAGCUGAUGUUACUCUUCUGCCCACUUUACAGAUGAAGAAACUAAAUUAUUGAGGUCAAAUAUGUUGCCUUGAACCUGCAGAAGUCUUUUCACUACAAUGUAGUGUCCCACCCUCAAGGGGCCUCUGAGUGUGCUGUACCCACUCUUACACUGCAAACUGAAAGGAUCUCAUUGACUGCUGGGUCAGCUGACAUCCAUAUCCUCUACCUGCUCAUAACAGAGCGAUCCCACAGACCUGAAACUCUUCAAAUCUUCCAGUUAGGAAACUUAAUAAUCUUUCUGUGUCUUCACAUAGAAAAGAGAGACUGUCAACCCAGAACAAACCUUGGGAACAUUGCAAGAUUACCCGAUGAUCUAAAUUUAUCCUGCAGGAGCUGCUAACCAUUAUUUUAUUUAUGGCACUCUGGAUCUCAAUCUCCUUAGUUUCAUUACUCCCAAUUAAGCUUAUGUAUGCUCACAAAGCAUCAUUACAUGAUUUAAAGACAGAGUAUUUUGAAUUAAUUAUAUGCCUACAUUUUGUAACAUAUUCAAGGUGCCUCACUAAAAUUGGAGCUGCUUUUUAUAGCUGCACAAAUGAGGGUAGCUAUGUUAUUGAAGUUCCAUUUCUGAGAAUUAUAUCCUACUUAAGGUAAAAUGUACAUGUUUUCUUAUGUAUGUUUUUAGAAUUCCAUGAUUUAACACAUACCUACUUGCUCUCAGUAAACAUUUAACUGGAAAGAGAAGCCUGCACAUCUACCUCAUGAAGCUGAGUAGCCUGAAUAAAUUGAAGCAUUUUCAAACGUUUAUUAAUUACUUUCCCUUUGCUGGUUAUUGGUGAUGGAUGAGGUUAAAGGUAGAUCAUCAUUCCACAACGGCCACAGCUACAUUUGAGGCAGGGAGGGUUAUUAAGGCUCUCAAGAAACAGAGGGAUUUAUAUUUUAGCUGGAGUUAAUUCCAUGGUGAAUCAAGUGAGAAAAAUACUCAACUCUCCCUGAGGCAAAUGAGGUUACCAUGACCUCUUCCAAGGCGCUAAGUGGUUCCUGGAAGUACAAUUUUAUGUAACAUUUUAUUAUAUUUACUCCCAGAGUGCUUUUCUCUCAUAAGACUGUGAAGGCAGGUUUCCCUAGUCUUUCUAUUCUCUCCCCUUCAGCCCCAUUUCUGAGGUCUAAUCCUAUAUCUCAAGUAUCCAUUGCUCUCAUAUUUCCCACCUCCACCCACCAACCUACCUACCCUCCACUCCCAGCAUCUCCACCUCCAACCCUCAGCCUCCCUGCCUCCACCAUCCGGUUUCCCACCCUUCACUCCUCAGACUCCCCACCUUCCACCACCCCCACCUUCCUCACCCUCACUGCCCUAGCAUCCUUACCCUCUACACUUUAACCUCUCCACCCUCCACCCUCCAACCCCAAGCCUCCCCACCCUCCACCACCCCCAACUUCCUCACCCUCCAUCACCCUAGCAUUGCUACCCUCUACCCCUUAAUCUCCCUAUCCUCCACCCCCCACAGCCUCCCCAUUUUCAACUCCAGCCUCCCUCCCCUCCACCACCUCCUAACUUCUCUACCCUCCACUACCCCCAGCUUCUCCACCCUCCACCUCUCCUUGCCUCGCCACCCUCUACCCUUUAAUUUUCCUACCCUUCCCCUCAAGCUUCCUCACUUCCUGCCCCCAGCCUCCCCGUCCUUUAAUCCCUAGCCUCCCCAUCUCCCUUCCUGGAACUAGUCCACUGAGGUUUGACCCUCCUGCAUCCUAGUGCCACCAUCAAAACUCACCUGUCCUAUAUCCUGUUCUUUAAGGCUUCUCCUCUCUAACAGAAAAUCUAAUCAACAAUUUAAUGCUAGGUAUAGAUGGCUGAUGAUAG